UCUGGGCUCAGGUUUCCUAUCUGUAAAAUGCGAAGAGAUCCUUUCAGUUCUUUCUUCCUGUUCCAGCACUAAUUUUGACAUGGCACAGCAAGGAGGAGAGUGGCUAAUUUUCCAAAGUUAAGGGCAAGUUGGUUUCAAUAUAGUCACAUGGCCCUGGCUGGAGUUUGGAGAGCUAGGGCGACUCAGGAGGGCUAUAUGGGACAAUGGGGGCCAGUUUUGUUCAUAUAAUGGCUACAGCCAGGAAAACAGAUGCAAUUGUUUGUGAUCUGAUGAGCCUGGUCCUCUUGGGUGAGGAAGCUCCCAGAAGCUACUGGGAACAGCAAACAGAAGGAGGAAAAAGAAAGAAAGAAAGGAAAAGCGAGAGCUUGAAAAAACAUCGCUGAAAAUAGGUGAUAGCCUUAUAACGUACAUGUAUUUUUAUCUGACAUUUCCAAAUAGAGUGGCUUUCUCUAGAAGAAGGAAAAUAUUUCCAAAUUUAUUUAAAUGAAACCUUAUUAGGGAAAGCUUAGGACUGAGCAACUAUUUAAAAAUAUAUUUUGAGGAGACACGCAAAGGAAGACAUUUAAUUCUUAGCAGACUGUAGGCAUUUUAAGGGAGCCUUGUGUCUAUUUAUUGCGCUGCUUCUGAUUAGAGACAGCUUAUGACUGUGAUAACAGGAAAUUUCAAAGGGCACUUUCCCCCCACCAACCAGACACUGUAGUAU
rnacentral:lncRNA from 10 species